GUCAUUUAGGAGCGACUCUACAUUAGAUCCUGGUGGACAGAGAAGGGUUGAUUGCACACAUUAUAAGAACCAUGUUUCACACCCAAGGGCAACAUAUGAGGAAACUCCUGCCAUGUGUUUUGUUAUCAUUGGUCGUAGGCAUUGUGACGGGGCAGCGCAGCGUCAGCAGCAAAAGGGAUUGUUCUACAGAGGAAUACUGGAGCGACGGGCUCUGCUGUGACAAAUGUGCUCCAGGGUAUAAAUUGAUAAGGAAAUGCUCUAGUGUCAUGGCAUCGCAAUGUGAGAAAUGUUCGAAAGGGACAUACCUAGACAAGAUGAACUAUUUCCCAAACUGCUUCAGAUGCGAGAAAUGCACCAAGCGGAAUGCGGUGGUGAUUUCACCAUGUACACCCCAAAAUAACACAGUUUGUGAAUGUCAGUCUGGAUACUACAAAAAGUUCUUUGAUACAAUUUCAUGGGAUUGUGUGCCCUUUAAAAGGACUGUUUCUGUAGCUAUUUAGAGGUCUGCUACCAGAACUAGCCCGACGGGUCCCGAAAUACUCUCGGGUUUCGGGGCGGGUUCAGGUCGGGUGCGGGUCGGGCUCAAGUGUGUAGCUAAAGUAAAAUAUGAAGUAGGCUACGCUGCUUUCAUGGACACACUCCAAGGGCGUAGCAGACGGGGGGGACAUGUCCCCCGCACUUUUAGAAAAAGGUUAUUCUGUCCCCCGCACUUGGUUUGACCCGCGGCCGAUAUUUCCGCCCUUGAUCUCUGAUUUGUUUAUUUAGAUUUGAGUGAACUAACAUUCAGCCAAUCACAA